AACGAACGCUGGCGGUAGGCUUAACACAUGCAAGUCGAACGCCCCGCAAGGGGAGUGGCAGACGGGUGAGUAACGCGUGGGAAUCUACCCAGAUCUUCGGAACAACUGAGGGAAACUUCAGCUAAUACCGGAUACGCCCUACGGGGGAAAGAUUUAUCGGUUCUGGAUGAGCCCGCGUUGGAUUAGCUAGUUGGUGGGGU
rnacentral:rRNA from 1 species